rnacentral:rRNA from 1 species
UACAGAGGGUGCGAGCGUUAAUCGGAAUUACUGGGCGUAAAGCGCGCGUAGGCGGCUUUGCAAGUCGGGUGUGAAAUCCCCAGGCUUAACCUGGGAACUGCAUUCGAGACUGCAUUGCUAGAGUAUGGGAGAGGGAAGUGGAAUUUCCGGUGUAGCGGUGAAAUGCGUAGAUAUCGGGAAGAACACCGGUGGCGAAGGCGGCUCGCUGGGCCGUUGCUGACGCUGAGGCGCGAAAGCGUGGGGAGCAAACAGG